rnacentral:lncRNA from 1 species
AGGAAUAGACCAUCAGUCACUCACACACAUAUCCAUUAGCCUAUUCACUCUAAGAAUUAUCUGAAAGCACAUAGAAAAACUGUUGCAUUUCCUUUCUCUGGCAUUCUUAGCAGAAAAACAAAAAUAUAGUUCCUAGAAAUCCCUAAGAAGUUCUGUUUUCUCUUCAUUCAUUUCUGAUCCUUCUCGAAGAUGAUUCUGGAUUGAAGUUUGAAACUUGUUCUGGGUUUAUUCAUUGCUGCUGUACCUGUUUGGUUGUUGCUAUUUUUGAGCUUGCUGAAUCUAUUUCUCCAGUUUUUUGCCUUUAUUUGGCAUUUACUAUCUCUCAUAGAAGGUAUGUGAAAUUCUUUCCUUGUAACCUUUAUGAAUCUGGAAAUAUAGACUAAACAUGUUGAUAUUGUGCUUAUGGCCUAUUUCAUGUGUUCUAUGAUGUUUGUAGGAUUAAAUUUAUCCAUCUUUGUUCGAUGUCUGAAAUCUGAUUCAUUUUGCCUAAUUCUAAGUUGAAUACACAUGCUAUGUUAACUCAUUAACUAGGCUAAUGUGUUACUUUGUCCACCUAUCUUGAUUUAAGGUUUUUAUUAAAUCAAAUGAGCUCAUAUAAGUUCUUCUUUGGAUGCAUUUGUUGACUUAAGGAUAAAAAUUGAAUUCUUGCUUACUCUUUGCAAAUUUCUGAAGUAAGGCUAAGGGUGUCUGUGGUGCUUUCACUUUUUUUAUUGAAUGAACUUUAAGCUUUUAAUUUCUUUGUUGUGACAAGUAACACAUACGUCCUGAUUAAGUUUAAGUUGACUGAAUUCUUGCUGUGUUGUUCUUUUUGGUAUUAAUGUUGAUUUACACUUGAAGGAAGGGUAAAGAAUGGCCAAGGGAUAAAUCUGACCACCAGUUGGUCAGAUCCGUCUCUGUGGAGUGUCUGGUUCACAAAUUCAUGAGUGGCAGAGCUUGAACAUGUAAUUCUACUGUUUGUUCAUCGCCAGUGCUGAAAGCAAAAGUAUAAGAGUUAGUUUGAAGUCUUAUUCUGAUCAAGUUUGUAAAUAAUGAUUGUAAUUGAUAGAAUGGUUCAUUAACGUAUUUCAAAUUAGUCCAAACUGAUUUCUUAAUGUUCUAAUUAGUUUUAUUUAGCAUAAUGUUGGUUCAAACUGAUAAUGAUAUGAGUUAGUUAGACAUUCU